rnacentral:lncRNA from 1 species
CACAUCACCUGUAAGCUUUAAAAACAUAACACUGCUAUGAGCAGCAAGGCAAAAAAAUAAAAACAGAAAAAUCAAAAAUAUGUCAUCCAAAAACAAACUGCAUCAACUCCAAUGGAGCUGCAUGUAACUUGUUUGAUAAAUGCAAAAAUGUCAUGUUUAUCAGGUUCAGCGAUGCAAAUGGAAGAAUUAGAUCAAGCCUUUAAGACUACUGAGAGUUAGUGAACAAAUGCUGCCUGGCAGUGAGAUACCGUGUGUAGUUUGGAUACAAAAUUUGCAGCUGAUUGAAAUCCACUACUGAUUGCUACUGGCCCACGUGCCUUUCAGUGUGUGCAUGUGUGUGUGAGGGUGGUUUACAUUAAGCUAAGUGAAUAUUUGGUAGCACAGUCAGCCCAGACAGUAUUUGGACAAUGAAAUACUGUUUGAGUUUCCGUCUCCAUUCUCUUUCUAAUUUAAAUUUUCAAAUAGAUGAUGCUAAAGAGGUUAGUUGGCUUUCUAUGUUCAUAGUCAAAUUAAUAUUCAAUGAAGCGCCGGUUCUUUUCCUUUUAUUUUAGUGUUAGAGUCAUUAAGAGCCUGCGGUGCCCGGAGACACAAGUGGCUCUCCAUGAACAAGGGGCUUCUUGUGUGCUGAGGACAGCAGUACUGAAACACCAUUCACCUGUUCACUCGUCUCCUCUCGGCCCUGCCAAGCUACAAAACAACCAGCUGGUGCAGCUGGUGGCAAUCUUCAAUUACAACACCUGAACCGCAUUAACUUGUCAGCCCCGACCCUGAAAAGCAGCAGGUGUGUGGGGGAGAAUCGCAGAGACUCACUGAGAAAUGUGGAUUGAAAUUGAUUAAUUUCAAAGUACGCCGGGGUUGCAUUGAUUAAUUUUCAAUGAUGCAGAUUUUGUGCUCACUGUACGCAUCGGAUGAAGAUAAGGAGAGAGAAAAAAGGUCUUUUCUGAUGAUAAAAAAACAACAAGAAAGUGGAGCCUUCCAGCUGGGACUGAUGAACACCUCUCUGUGUGCCUCAGUGAGCAGUCGGAGGGGAGAAUACGCAGGUGACCCCGCCACCAGCCAGAGUGUCAGCAUGAUUGGCACAGUAAAAUAUCACAAAAUGGCACAUGUGUGACUCAUGCUAUCUUGCCUAAAAACACAGAAGCUGGCUGCAGAUAGCUGUGAUUUCAACCGGAAAUCUAAGCGUGAUGCUGCUCACAGAGCAGACCAUCACCGGUUUUUUGUUGUCAGUAUUUUUGAUAUUGUGCAUUUGCAUGAUUUACAUCAAUACAAAUUGCAACGCAUUUCAUUUUAUACUGCAAAUAAACUGAUGUUUUACUGCUGAAUUUCUU